rnacentral:lncRNA from 1 species
CAAGGCAAGUUGUAAUACCAUCCACUUGAAGACAACUAAGGAUGAGUUGGCGACAACCAAGCACGAGGUGGCGACAACCAAGCGCAAGUUGUAAAGUGGAAGGUUAAGGAGGUUUAAGUUUUCUAUAAAUAGAGAGGUAGUCUCAUUUGUAAAUGGUAUGUAGUAGAGGUUAGAGAAUGGAGAGAAUGUAGAGUGAGUGAGUUUAUUCUUUCAAGAGAGAUUGUAAAGUUUUUCCUUUCAUUUAUAUAAAGAAAGUUUCCCCAAUCCUUACUUGUUUUCCAUAUAUUACUUACUUCAAAAUUCUCUUCUCAACGUGGGUAUAAUUUAGCCUCAUUGGUUAAAUUAUUUGUGGGCGUAGAAAGGCUGACUUAACGUUUUCUCGUGAGGUGCGGGAAUUGUAGAGCGUUAAGGCCGCACGGCUCUAGUUUGUUCGGGUGUAACGAAACUAGGCCCUUGACAAGUGGUA